GUGAAUCAUCAAAUUUUUGAACGCAAACUGCACUUUCUGGUAUUCCGGAAAGUAUGCCUGUUUGAGGGUCAGUUAAAUAAAAAUCGGGUGUGUUGGCGCCUUUUCGUGUGACGCUACGGAAUUGAGUUGUCUUACCUUCGGGUAAGUGACCUAAAAUUUUUCAUUAUUUUCGAACGUAUUUAAAUUUAUUACUUUCCUUACAUAUGC
rnacentral:misc_RNA from 1 species